rnacentral:rRNA from 1 species
UGAACGCUGGCGGUAGGCCUAACACAUGCAAGUCGAACGGCAGCACAGUAAGAGCUUGCUCUUAUGGGUGGCGAGUGGCGGACGGGUGAGGAAUACAUCGGAAUCUACUUUUUCGUGGGGGAUAACGUAGGGAAACUUACGCUAAUACCGCAUACGACCUACGGGUGAAAGCAGGGGACCUUCGGGCCUUGCGCGAUUGAAUGAGCCGAUGUCGGAUUAGCUAGUUGGCGGGGUAAAGGCCCACCAAGGCGACGAUCCGUAGCUGGUCUGAGAGGAUGAUCAGCCACACUGGAACUGAGACACGGUCCAGACUCCUACGGGAGGCAGCAGUGGGGAAUAUUGGACAAUGGGCGCAAGCCUGAUCCAGCCAUACCGCGUGGGUGAAGAAGGCCUUCGGGUUGUAAAGCCCUUUUGUUGGGAAAGAAAUCCAGCCGGUUAAUACCUGGUUGGGAUGACGGUACCCAAAGAAUAAGCACCGGCUAACUUCGUGCCAGCAGCCGCGGUAAUACGAAGGGUGCAAGCGUUACUCGGAAUUACUGGGCGUAAAGCGUGCGUAGGUGGUUGUUUAAGUCUGUUGUGAAAGCCCUGGGCUCAACCUGGGAACUGCAGUGGAAACUGGACGACUAGAGUGUGGUAGAGGGUAGCGGAAUUCCUGGUGUAGCAGUGAAAUGCGUAGAGAUCAGGAGGAACAUCCAUGGCGAAGGCAGCUACCUGGACCAACACU